UACGUAGGGUGCAAGCGUUGUCCGGAAUUAUUGGGCGUAAAGAGCUCGUAGGUGGCCUGUCGCGUCGGCUGUGAAAACUCGGGGCUCAACUCCGAGCUUGCAGUCGAUACGGGCAGGCUAGAGUUCGGCAGGGGAGACUGGAAUUCCUGGUGUAGCGGUGAAAUGCGCAGAUAUCAGGAGGAACACCAACGGCGAAGGCAGCACUCUGGGCCGGUACUGACGCUGAGGAGCGAAAGCGUGGGGAGCGAACAGG
rnacentral:rRNA from 1 species